GUUCCUGGUGACAACAGCUGAUCAGAUCGGCAAAGUAUGUUUCUGGACUGUUUGUCUUUUUACACGAUUCUUGCAAAGCCAUAGUGGAUGGAAAGUGUGACCUGGGAGAAGAGGAAUGCAUGAUAUCAGAGAAGAGAAGAGAAGAGAAGAGAAGAGAAGAGAAGGUGUUGUCUCGUCUCCUGUGAACACACCAGGUAGGUGUCCAGAGAGGAGGGGCUUAGUGUCCACUGGCUUGUUUCUUCCUGGAAUUAAGUUGUAGUCGAAGGAGAGAGAGAGAGAUUGAGUCAGAGAGUGAACAACCAUAAGCAUAAGCUGGCACAUGAGGACUUAGAACACACUGAGAAGACACAUUAGCACACAAGGGGGAGAAGAAAAAAUGUGCAAGGAGCUACGGCACUACGGUGCCUGUUUACCACACUAAGAAGGCAGAUAAUCUGGCAGAAGCUGGACGGCAGCGCUUGUCCUUUUAUGCUGUGGCUGAUCAGGCUGAUGAGACACAGGUGAUCUGGCUGAGGAGUGGGAAAAGCUCUGGACUCCACCCAAAGGGGUGGAGAAUGUUGCUCAACACACAAACAAGUGGCGGACUAUGACAUCUUGGGCUCAGAAGAAUCAAAGGCAGGUUUCUUUAAAUGUUCUUUAUUGCAAAAAGAAAAGACAAUUAAAAACAUCAUGCCAUUUAAGUGAUCACAUUUGCAAAGUAAGCCAUCUACACUUCCAGCGCUCUUGCAUUUAAAGAAUUUAAGAGAUCCUUAAACGUUAUACUGUUCAAUAUUCACUGUCACUCAGUCUUGCAACAGUUCCUUCUCAGUCAGCAGUGUCUCCUCAG